rnacentral:rRNA from 1 species
GACGAACGCUGGCGGCGUGCUUAACACAUGCAAGUCGAACGGAAAGGCCCUGCUUUUGUGGGGUGCUCGAGUGGCGAACGGGUGAGUAACACGUGAGUAACCUGCCCUUGACUUUGGGAUAACUUCAGGAAACUGGGGCUAAUACCGGAUAGGAGCUCCUGCUGCAUGGUGGGGGUUGGAAAGUUUCGGCGGUUGGGGAUGGACUCGCGGCUUAUCAGCUUGUUGGUGGGGUAGUGGCUUACCAAGGCUUUGACGGGUAGCCGGCCUGAGAGGGUGACCGGCCACAUUGGGACUGAGAUACGGCCCAGACUCCUACGGGAGGCAGCAGUGGGGAAUAUUGCACAAUGGGCGGAAGCCUGAUGCAGCAACGCCGCGUGCGGGAUGACGGCCUUCGGGUUGGUAACCGCUUUCGCCUGUGACGAAGCGUGAGUGACGGUAAUGGGUAAAGAAGCACCGGCUAACUACGUG